UACGUAGGGGGCAAGCGUUGUCCGGAUUUACUGGGCGUAAAGCGCGCGUAGGCGGAACGUUAAGUCCGGUCUGAAAGCCCCCGGCUCAACCGGGGAGGGUGGCUGGAAACUGGCGUUCUUGAGGGCGAGAGAGGAGGGUGGAAUUCCUGGUGUAGCGGUGAAAUGCGUAGAGAUCAGGAGGAACACCCGUGGCGAAGGCGGCGCCCUGGCUCGCACCUGACGCUCAGACACGACAGCAUGGGGAGCGAACGGG
rnacentral:rRNA from 1 species